rnacentral:rRNA from 1 species
GAUCGAGUUUGAUCCUGGCUCAGAUUGAACGCUGGCGGAAUGCUUUACACAUGCAAGUCGAACGGUAGAGGGGGCAACCCCUUGAGAGUGGCGAACGGGUGAGUAAUGCAUCGGAACGUGCCCAGUCGUGGGGGAUAACGUAGUGAAAAUUACGCUAAUACCGCAUACGAUCUAAGGAUGAAAGCGGGGACUCGCAAGAGCCUCGCGCGAUUGGAGCGGCCGAUAUCAGAUUAGGUAGUUGGUGGGUAAAGGCUCACCAAGCCAACGAUCUGUAGCUGGUCUGAGAGGACGACCAGCCACACUGGAACUGAGACACGGUCCAGACUCCUACGGGGAGCAGCAGUAGGGAAUAUUGGGCAAUGGACGCAUGUCUGAUCCCAGCCAUGCCGCGUGCAGGAUGAAGGCCUUC